CACGUAGGGCGCAAGCGUUGUCCGGAAUUAUUGGGCGUAAAGAGCUCGUAGGCGGUCUGUUGCGUCCGCUGUGAAAACUCGGGGCUUAACCCCGAGCCUGCAGUGGAUACGGGCAGACUAGAGGUAGGUAGGGGAGAAUGGAAUUCCCGGUGUAGCGGUGAAAUGCGCAGAUAUCAGGAGGAACACCGGUGGCGAAGGCGGGUCUCUGGGCCGACAUUGACGCUGAGGAGCGAAAGCGUGGGGAGCGAACAGG
rnacentral:rRNA from 1 species